GAAAAGAAAGAGGAGGAAGAAGAAAAGGGCUUGGAGGAGGCUCGAUUUUGGAGAAGAUUAGAGAAAAAUUGAAAGGUUUCCUCUUGCAUGCCAUUGUUGGAGCUUGAAGGAGGAAAUGGUGGUUCGCAUAGUGAUUCCAAGUAAGGAUCUACAAGGAUUAAAAGAACCGGGUGCAUGCAUGCAGCUUGUUCUUGAAAGUAUGGUGAGUUAAAGUAAGACAAAUAAUGGCAAUGGUGAUCAAGGAUGUGAGGGGUUUGUGACUUAUGUGAAGGAUUCAAAGUGAAGGAAAGAUUAGAAGGUAAACAUGCAAUGUGGGCAUAUUAUGCCAUAGAGGACUUGCUUCGUUAAAGUUCGCAGAUUGCAUGUUAGAUUAUGGUGUAUAAUUAAGUAUAUUGAGUUUAAUUUGUUGCUAGGAAGUGUGUAAGUGAAAAAAGUUUGUUGUGGUGGUGUACCAGAUGAGAUAACAGGUGACCGGCAAGUAGAAUUAGCUAUAGACUCACUGGAACCGAUAGCGACGUAGUGUCCCUCUAUUGUGAGGUGAGUAGGGGGUGGCUAUUUCACAAA